rnacentral:tRNA from 1 species
UAAAAUGAAACUAAUUAAUAGUAAUUAGUUUCGACCUAAUUUAAAAUAUUUAUAAUAUUCAUUUUAU